UAGGGAAUCUUCGGCAAUGGACGAAAGUCUGACCGAGCAACGCCGCGUGAGUGAAGAAGGUUUUCGGAUCGUAAAACUCUGUUGUUAGAGAAGAACAAGGACGUUAGUAACUGAACGUCCCCUGACGGUAUCUAACCAGAAAGCCACGGCUAACUACGUGCCAGCAGCCGCGGUAAUACGUAGGUGGCAAGCGUUGUCCGGAUUUAUUGGGCGUAAAGCGAGCGCAGGCGGUUUCUUAAGUCUGAUGUGAAAGCCCCCGGCUCAACCGGGGAGGGUCAUUGGAAACUGGGAGAGUUGAGUGCAGAAGAGGAGAGUGGAAUUCCAUGUGUAGCGGUGAAAUGCGUAGAUAUAUGGAGGAAAACAAGUGGCGAAGGCGGCUCUCUGGUCUGUAACUGACGCUGAGGAUCGAAAGCGUGGGGAGCAAACAGG
rnacentral:rRNA from 1 species